GUAGUCAUAUGCUUGUCUCAAAGAUUAAGCCAUGCAUGUCUAAGUAUAAGCAAUCAUACUGUGAAACUGCGAAUGGCUCAUUAAAUCAGUUAUAGUUUAUUUGAUAGUACCUUUACCUGGAUAACUGUGGCAAUUCUAGAGCUAAUACAUGCUAAAAACCCCGACUUCGGGAGGGGUGUAUUUAUUAGAUAAAAAACCAAUGCCCUUCGGGGCUCCUUGGUGAUUCAUAAUAACUUAACGAAUCGCAUGGCCUUGCGCCGGCGAUGGUUCAUUCAAAUUUCUGCCCUAUCAACUUUCGAUGGUAAGGUAGUGGCUUACCAUGGUUUCAACGGGUAACGGGGAAUUAGGGUUCUAUUCCGGAGAGGGAGCCUGAGAAACGGCUACCACACCCAAGGAAGGCAGCAGGCGCGCAAAUUACCCAAUCCCAACACGGGGAGGUAGUGACAAUAUGUAACAAUAUACGGCCUUAUACGUCGUAUAAUUGGAAUGAGUACAAUUUAAAUCCCUUAACGAGGAACAAUUGGAGGGCAAGUCUGGUGCCAGCAGCC
rnacentral:rRNA from 1 species